GGGAGAAAGCAGGGGAUCUUCGGACCUUGCGCUAAUAGAUGAGCCUAAGUCGGAUUAGCUAGUUGGUGGGGUAAAGGCCUACCAAGGCGACGAUCUGUAGCGGGUCUGAGAGGAUGAUCCGCCACACUGGGACUGAGACACGGCCCAGACUCCUACGGGAGGCAGCAGUGGGGAAUAUUGGACAAUGGGGGGAACCCUGAUCCAGCCAUGCCGCGUGUGUGAAGAAGGCCUUAUGGUUGUAAAGCACUUUAAGCGAGGAGGAGGCUACUUUAGUUAAUACCUAGAGAUAGUGGACGUUACUCGCAGAAUAAGCACCGGCUAACUCUGUGCCAGCAGCCGCGGUAAUACAGAGGGUGCGAGCGUUAAUCGGAUUUACUGGGCGUAAAGCGUGCGUAGGCGGCUUAUUAAGUCGGAUGUGAAAUCCCCGAGCUUAACUUGGGAAUUGCAUUCGAUACUGGUGAGCUAGAGUAUGGGAGAGGAUGGUAGAAUUCCAGGUGUAGCGGUGAAAUGCGUAGAGAUCUGGAGGAAUACCGAUGGCGAAGGCAGCCAUCUGGCCUAAUACUGACGCUGAGGUACGAAAGCAUGGGGAGCAAACAGGAUUAGAUACCCUGGUAGUCCAUGCCGUAAACGAUGUCUACUAGCCGUUGGGGCCUUUGAGGCUUUAGUGGCGCAGCUAACGCGAUAAGUAGACCGCCUGGGGAGUACGGUCGCAAGACUAAAACUCAAAUGAAUUGACGGGGGCCCGC
rnacentral:rRNA from 1 species